GACGAACGCUGGCGGCGUGCUUAACACAUGCAAGUCGUACGGUAAGGCCCUUUCGGGGGUACACGAGUGGCGAACGGGUGAGUAACACGUGAGUAACCUGCCCACAACUUUGGGAUAACGCUAGGAAACUGGUGCUAAUACUGGAUAUGUGCUCCUGCUGCAUGGUGGGGGUUGGAAAGCUCCGGCGGUUGUGGAUGGACUCGCGGCCUAUCAGCUUGUUGGUGGGGUAGUGGCCUACCAAGGCGGCGACGGGUAGCCGGCCUGAGAGGGUGACCGGCCACAUUGGGACUGAGAUACGGCCCAGACUCCUACGGGAGGCAGCAGUGGGGAAUAUUGCACAAUGGGCGCAAGCCUGAUGCAGCAACGCCGCGUGCGGGAUGACGGCCUUCGGGUUGUAAACCGCUUUCAGCAGGGACGAAGCUUUUUAUGACGGUACCUGCAGAAGAAGCACCGGCUAACUACGUG
rnacentral:rRNA from 1 species